GAGUUUGAUCGUGGCUCAGAUUGAACGCUGGCGGCAGGCCUAACACAUGCAAGUCGAGCGGAUGAAGGGAGCUUGCUCCUGGAUUCAGCGGCGGACGGGUGAGUAAUGCCUAGGAAUCUGCCUGGUAGUGGGGGAUAACGUCCGGAAACGGGCGCUAAUACCGCAUACGUCCUGAGGGAGAAAGUGGGGGAUCUUCGGACCUCACGCUAUCAGAUGAGCCUAGGUCGGAUUAGCUAGUUGGUGGGGUAAAGGCCUACCAAGGCGACGAUCCGUAACUGGUCUGAGAGGAUGAUCAGUCACACUGGAACUGAGACACGGUCCAGACUCCUACGGGAGGCAGCAGUGGGGAAUAUUGGACAAUGGGCGAAAGCCUGAUCCAGCCAUGCCGCGUGUGUGAAGAAGGUCUUCGGAUUGUAAAGCACUUUAAGUUGGGAGGAAGGGCAGUAAGUUAAUACCUUGCUGUUUUGACGUUACCAACAGAAUAAGCACCGGCUAACUUCGUGCCAGCAG
rnacentral:rRNA from 1 species